rnacentral:rRNA from 1 species
UACAGAGGUCUCAAGCGUUGUUCGGAUUCAUUGGGCGUAAAGGGUGUGUAGGUGGCGCGCUAAGUCGGGUGUGAAAUUUCGGGGCUUAACUCCGAAACUGCAUUCGAUACUGGCGUGCUUGAGGACUGGAGAGGAGACUGGAAUUUACGGUGUAGCAGUGAAAUGCGUAGAUAUCGUAAGGAAGACCAGUGGCGAAGGCGGGUCUCUGGACAGUUCCUGACACUGAGACACGAAGGCCAGGGGAGCAAACGGG